AGCUAUCAAUCCAGUAUUCCAGAUUUCCAGCGCCGCUUCCUUUUCUCCGUCGUGCUCUCCUCCGCCUCCGGUCACCAUUAACCUAGCCGCCACUCUCCUCGGUGCGGCGGAGCCCGCCUGCCCGGAUCCCGGACACCGGGGCGACCUCAAGUGUUCCACAUGCAUCAUGGGACACGACGCUCACCGCUCGCUAUCGCUGGCGGACUACGGACGGCUGGAGCUGGAUUUCUGUGGAGAAGUGGAUUGCUGACUGCUGUGGAGAAUUUCGGACUUUGAAGCCUGAAGUGUGAAGUAUGAACCAUCUGUGAAGUCCAAACUGUAUUUUUCUUGUGGAUUUGUGAUGCAAUGCAAUGGCACUUGGCGGCUGUCACUGGCAGGCAACAGCAGCACCGCAGCAGGCUUAAUGCCUUGCAGCCUUGCACUUUUGUAUCUUUUGUCGUCGUCGAGCACUCACUACAUUAGUACUAGUAGGUAGUACCUGUCGGCUGUAUUGGUUCUUGAAUUCUCGCUCCUCUACAUAAGGUUUGUUAUCUAUACUAGAUUAUGAUCUUAAGAUG
rnacentral:lncRNA from 7 species